UGCUCUGUCUCUCUCUGUCCCAAAAAUAAAUAAACGUUGAAAAAAAAAAAAUUAAAAAAAAAAAAAUGGCUGCACCAUUUAUCUUCCACGUCCGUAGUGCAUGAGAGUUCUGGUUUUCUUCUCUCCUUGACAGCCUUUAAUAAUACCUGACUUUCUAAAAUGACAUUUUACUCUUGAUUUUAAAUUACAUUUUUGUAAUUGCUAAUAAGAUUGAACAUUUCUUCAUAUACUAUGGACUACACUCAUCAUAGUCUUGUUAUUGGCUUCCUAUUUUUUACUGAUUUGUGGAAGUCAUUCUAUAUUCUUAGAUAUUAACUCCUUAUCUUUUAUUUUAGGUUUGCAGAUAUACUCUGAAGCAUUGUCACUGGUUUCCUUCAUUGGCUUUCAUUUUGAUGUUACAUCUAUACAUUUCCCCCCUCAUUGACCAUACUUUUUUGGAUCUUAAGUCCUUUCUUAUACUAGUAUCACAAUAAUGUUCUUUUAUAAAGUUUUACAGUUUCCUCCUUUACAUCUAGGUCUUUUUUUUGGAAUUUAUUUUGGUAUAUGAUUUAAGAUAGUCACCAAGCUUUAUUUUUUUCUGUAUAAUGAGCUAAUUUUCCCAGUACCAUCUACUAAAUCAUUCCUAAUUGAUUUGUGAUGCCAUCUUUUUCAACUGUCAGGUUUCUACAUAUGCAAGGGUAUAUUUCUGAAUUUCCCAGUCCGCUAACUGUUCUGCUAACCAGUGUCACCUUGUAUAUUUAUCACUGAGCUGAGUAAUGUCUUAAGUACGGGAGAUUCCCUACCCUAUUUGCUGCUCAUUUUGAAAUUAGUCUUUGUAAACCUUCAUUUUUCUAUAUCAAUUUUGGAAUAACCUUGUCAAGUCCCCCAAAGUCCUGUAGAGUUUUAAUUGGAAUUGCUUGAAUUGAAUAGGUCCCUUUUUAUGUCAUUUAAGAGUGUCUAAAGAUCUUGAGCAUUCUUUGCUAUGUCAACUUCUGAAUCUUUAUAGUUUACACUACUUUAUUUCCUAAAAUAUUUUCUAGUUGGUUAUUGUUGGGGUAGAAGAAUGAUAUUGAUAUUUGCAUACAGAUUUUCUUUAAUCUAUCAGCCUUGAUGAACCUUAUUCUAUCAAUAGUUGGUCUGUUGAUUCAUCUGUGUUUUUUAUGUAAUUAUAUUAUCAAGAAAAUAAUUAUAUUUUUAUGCAUUUCUUUACAUCCCUAGAUCUCUUAUUUCUUUAUCUUAUCUUACUGCAUUGCUCAGGAUCUCCCAAAACAUAUUGAACAGAAGGGAUGACAGCUAGCAUUCUCAUCUCAAAGAAAAAGCAUCUUGAGUUUCUCCAUCAGGGCUGCCUGGAAUCAGAGGAGAGAUAGAUCUAGGCCUGCUCUUCUGGAACCAGGUCAGAUCUGAGCAGUUGGGGUUGGAGGCCCUGGUGGAUUCAGUGCUCAGGUAGAUCUGGCUAGAUGGGGGCCCCCAAAUGUGGGCAAUGAUGCACGGGAGCUGAAAGAAUUCACGUGAGGCAGAACAAAGAAGAUAGAAGUUUAUUGAAUGUACUACAAAGGAGCAGGGGGAAGGACAGCAGAGGAGAGACUGUCUGCCAUGAAGUAGUGGGAAGGGGCUGCUUUUAAGGUAUGACAAUGUAUGGAA